UUACACUGGCUGAAAUUAGGA
rnacentral:siRNA from 1 species